UUUCCCUUUAGCUUAGCAAUAUGCUGCAGCUCUCAAAAGAUUGGAUCUGAAAGAAAGAGACGGAGGAGAAUGAGAGCCAGAGACAGAGAUGCAGACAAGGGAGGGAAGGGGAAAAAAGACUUUUCUUUUCUUUUCUUUUUUUUCUUUCUAGAGGAAUUCUGCCCAGACUCUCCAGCAGUUGGUAGCAGGCAGGCUUUCUCCUGUGUCGCCUGGAAAAGUUGCAAAAUUGCUCUUCACCUGUAAGAACAUGCUUUUUUAUCUUCCAGUCUCUUCUUGUCAAUUUGGAAAUUGCAGACAGCCCGGCUCAGGCAUUAAGAGAAAUUGAUUAGUGACAAGGAAGAGAAGAAAACAUUGCUGGUCAGUAGGCCACGGUAUUCAAGUCCCUCAGAUAAAUGGCUCCUGGGAGGAGAGAACACAUCCAAUGUAAUCCUGACGUAUGCAGAAUUGAGUUCGGUUUGAACCCAGCCAUCAAGGGAUGAAAGCAUUAGGGCCAGAACUCAGGGCCACCAUCUACCAACCAGCUCCACGAUGUGUCCAGCCAUGGAAGAACCCGGUGGCCAAGCGUGAUUAUGCAACCGGUGGGCAGUGACUGAGGACAUGGUGUCCUUGGGAGCAGAGCUCCAUCCCGGGGAAAGGAAAGAGGGUCAUGAAAUCAUCACCAUCAUCAUCAUCAUCACCACCACCACCAUCAUCAUCACCACCACCACCAUCAUCAUCAUCACCAUCAUCAUCAUCAUCAUCACCACCAUCACCACCACCACCAUCAUCAUUAUCAUCAUCACCAUCAUCAUCAUCACCACCACCAUCACCACCAUCAUCAUCAUCAUCAUCACCAUCAUCAUCAUCAUUGGCAGCGGUGGCAGCGGUAGCAGCAGCAGCAAGAUUUUGUAUUGGGAGGGUCCUUCCACAUGCUACAGGGGACAGAAGGUCAUCAGAUGUUGGCCUAGGGAUUAUAGCAUGAAGUGUUCCUCUUCUCGUAGGAUUUUAAACCUUUCGAGGAUUAAAACUGUCAUUCUAAUAGCUUGUUUCAGACUUACCCAUCAUCUACAACAUGCGGAAAAGCAGACUUAUAGAAGUCACCUAACUAAAGCCCAAUGUGAUGACCAGGGAAGUUGUUUUGAAGUAGGGCAGAUACUUUUUGAGACAUUAAAGAAAGGCACAAACUUGUUUCUAUUACACAUACAUUCUUGGAGCCUUUAGUUUGAACCUGGAACUCUGUUAGAGUCUGUGGGAACAACAUAGGCAGAAGACAUAGUCCUUACCUCCAGGAAGCUUCUUGGGCAAAGAACCAGUGUUCAGAUAUGGGCUUCAUCAACUUAAUGAAGACAGUUAACAUUUACCUUUAUUGUAGUGCAAAACAAAUGUAAUAAAAACAUAGGAUAUAGGGUUCGAGUGAAGGAGAAAAAUCACGUGAUUGGGAGACAAUGGAAAUCCUCCCAGAUGUCAGACACCCUUGGUGUUGGAGCUGGAGAAAAGCUGCUUGGGCAAUUCCCUGGCCCUGUUUGUCUCUGCCUGCAGCACUCUGGCCUCCUCUGAGUCAGUCAGCUCUUAUCUGACUGCUUAUCCAUUCCAUGAUCUAGCUCACCAGGCUGCAGAUUCCAUGAAGGAUGCUGUAUAUCCCUCUCUGAUUUCUCCCCCAUUAAAUAUCCUACAUAGAGACCAUUGCCCAGUACAGUACACAUUGUCAAUAAAAAGUCUUUAUGGCUGGACAAA
rnacentral:lncRNA from 1 species